UCCUCUCAAACACCUCGAACACUACAUGAAACAAACAUGUUGUGAAUAUUAACCACUUCUUUCUCAACCCAAGAACUCAAAGAACAAAACCUGAUAUGGGUUUCUGAAUAAGGAGAGCUUGCAGGUGUGCAGGCUACCAGUUAGGCAAAGAAAAAAAAA